GACGAACGCUGGCGGCGUGCUUAACACAUGCAAGUCGAGCGAUGAAGCCCCUUCGGGGGUGGAUUAGCGGCGGACGGGUGAGUAACACGUGGGUAACCUGCCUCAAAGAGGGGGAUAACCUCCCGAAAGGGAGAUUAAUACCGCAUAAAGCAGAAUUCCACAUGGAGUUUUGAUGAAAGGAGUAAUCCGCUUUGAGAUGGACCCGCGGCGCAUUAGCUAGUUGGUGGGGUAACGGCCUACCAAGGCAACGAUGCGUAGCCGACCUGAGAGGGUGAUCGGCCACAUUGGAACUGAGAGACGGUCCAGACUCCUACGGGAGGCAGCAGUGGGGAAUAUUGCACAAUGGGCGAAAGCCUGAUGCAGCAACGCCGCGUGAGUGAUGAAGGUCUUCGGAUUGUAAAGCUCUGUCUUCUGGGACGACAAUGACGGUACCAGAGGAGGAAGCCACGGCUAACUACGUGCCAGCCGCCGCCGUAA
rnacentral:rRNA from 1 species